AUACCUGGCUAAUUUUUGUAUUUUCAGUAGAGACAGGGUUUCCCCAUGUUGACCAGGCUGGUCUGGAACUCCUGACCUCAGGUGAUCCACCAGCCUCCCAAAGUGCUGGAUUAUAGGUGUGAGCCACCACACUCUGCCUUUUUUGUAGAGUUUUUAAAGAGAAAUCACACUAUGGAUGUAUGAAAGGAAGGACAUAUGUCUGCCUGAUUCUUUUUCUCCCACCUGAGUACUAAACAGCCCCCACCCUGCUCAGCUUCCGAGAUCAGGUGAGAUUGGGUUGGUUCGGGGUGGUACGGUCAGAUUCUGAUUCUCUUUCAUCUCCUGUUUCCCACCGGUCAAGAUUUACUCCAGGGAGAACUAAGGCCCCUUUCACUUCUAGGUGGCAUCAUCUAGCUCCUUCUCAGCUGCUCAGGUGCUGUGCCCCACUAUGUAGUAUUUCAUCUGUGAUACUGGGAAUGAGGCACCAACUAAGAGAAGACAGCAACUGAGGGAAUCUUGAAAAAGCGCAAGGUUUAUGUCCAAUACAGAGACUGGAGAGGUCUUCACUUUAAUAUUUCCAGGCUUGUGGACAGUGCCUGGAGUACGUGGGUCAUUCAUCUGAAUGGCUUUCAGAUUACACCAGGUGAGAGGACCCCUCUUGUGUGAAUACAGUGUGCCCAGUCUCUCUCCAUCGAGGCCCAUCACCAUCUUUCAGCUGGUUGCAGAUUAUCACUGGCAACUCCCGCAGAGGAACCUGUGGCCAUAUCUGCCCACUCUAGUCCCUCCGCAGAAGCUACAGGAGGAAUGCCCCUUACUGACCACCUGCCAGCAUACAUGAAUGAAACUUCAGGUCACACAGCUGCUGCCAUGGAGGUUAUAGAGAUCUUUUGGGAAAUGGAUGUGAAGGGCUCUGGAAUGUUCCUGAACUCACCUGCCAUUCCAGGGUGAGUUCUUGUGUGUUCAUGCAGAAGGCCUGAAUAUUCUGUUGUGGGCAUCUUUUUAUGUAAAAACAUUAUGCUGGGCCGGGCGUGGUGGCUCAAGCCUGUAAUCCCAGCACUUUGGGAGGCCGAGGCGGGUGGAUCACGAGGUCAACAGAUCGAGACCAUCCUGGUCAACAUGGUGAAACCCCGUCUCUACUAAAAAUUACAAAAAAUUAGCUGGGCACGGUGGUGCGUGCCUGUAAUCCCAGCUACUCAGGAGGCUGAGGCAGGAGAAUUGCCUGAACCCAGGGGGCGGAGGUUGCAGUGAGCCGAGAUUGCGCCAUUGCACUCCAGCCUGGGUAACAAGAGCGAAACUCCGUCUCAAAAAAAAAAAAAAAAAAAAAAAAACCAUUAUGCUGUACCCUCUACAAAUGUGUUCUAGUCAGUGCUAGACCUAUCUGCAAAAGUGUGGGCAGAGAAAAUGAGGUGAGGGUCUCUGAGAGAUUGGCACUGAACACUGGCUCGGGGGUUCUGUGGGACGAGAGCAGGGAUGGCUGGGAGGCGAACUCACUUCCAGGGC
rnacentral:lncRNA from 1 species